rnacentral:rRNA from 1 species
GACGAACGCUGGCGGCGUGCUUAACACAUGCAAGUCGAACGGUGAAGCGCCUUCCUUUUUGGUGGGUGUGGUUGAGUGGGGAACGGGUGCGUAAGACGUGAGUAACCUGCACCCUUCUACUGGUUAACCGCAUGAAAGCGUGGCUAGUACGGGAUCUUCUGGUUCUGUCGCAUGAUGGGUAUGGGACAGCUGUUGUUUCGGUGGGGGCUGGGCGGGCGGCCUUUCGGCUUGUAGGUGGUGUGAUCGCCUACGAGGGCGGUGACGGGUCGCCGGCCUGGGAGGGUGGACGGUCACAGUGGGACAGAGACACCGCCCAGACUCCUACGCGAGGCAGCAGUGGGGAGGAUGGCACAGUGGGCGAAAUCCUGAUGCAGCGAGGCCGCGUGAGGGAUGGAGGCGUUCGGGUGGUGAACCUCUUUCGCUAGUGAAGCGGGCCUGCCUCGUUUGUGGGUGGGUUGACGGUAGCGGGAUAAGAAGCGCCGGCUAACUACGUG